CAAAAACAUGGCUCUUUGCUAGUUAAUUAUAAAGAGUUUGGCCUGCCCAGUGAUUUUUUUUAACGGCCGCGGUACUUUGACCGUGCAAAGGUAGCAUAAUCAUUUGCCUUAUAAUUGAAGGCUAGUAUGAAAGGUUUGACGAAAGUUAAGCUGUCUUUUUUUGUAUAAAAUGAAAUUAACUUAUAAGUGCAAAGGCUUAUAUAUAACUAAAAGACAAGAAGACCCUAUUGAGCUUAUAAAAAUAUGAUAGAGUAAAGUAUAUAUAAAAAUUCUAAUCUUUUUAAAUUUUUAGUUGGGGCGACUUAGGAAUCAAAAAAACUUCCUAGUACUAAAAUUACUUUUAUGUUUUUUAUCCAAAAUUUUUUGAUUAUCAGAAUUAGUUACCAUAGGGAUAACAGCAUAAUCUUUCUUAGGAGUUCUAAUCGAAAGAAAGGAUUGUGACCUCGAUGUUGGACUAGAAUAUCCUAAAGGUGCAGAAGUUUUUGAGGGUUGGUCUGUUCGACCAUUAAUAAUUCUACGUGAUCUGA
rnacentral:rRNA from 1 species